GAUAAACGCUGGCGGCGCAUAUAAGACAUGCAAGUCGAACGGAAGUCGUUAUAAAAAGGAUUGAAGAUUUAUCUGAUUGAGAUUUUAUAACAAUGGCUUUAGUGGCGGACUGGUGAGUAACGCGUGAGCAACCUGCCUACUAGAGGGGAAUAACAGUGAGAAAUCAUUGCUAAUACCGCAUAUGCCAUGAACAUCACAUGAUGAAAAUGGGAAAAGAGUAAUCUGCUAGUAGAUGGGCUCGCGUCUGAUUAGAUAGUUGGUGGGGUAACGGCCUACCAAGUCGACGAUCAGUAGCCGGACUGAGAGGUUGAACGGCCACAUUGGGACUGAGAUACGGCCCAGACUCCUACGGGAGGCAGCAGUCGGGAAUAUUGCGCAAUGGAGGAAACUCUGACGCAGUGACGCCGCGUAUAGGAAGAAGGUUUUCGGAUUGUAAACUAUUGUCGUUAGGGAAGAUAUAAGACAGUACCUAAGGAGGAAGCUCCGGCUAACUACGUGCCAGCAGCCGCGGUAAUACGUAGGGAGCAAGCGUUAUCCGGAUUUAUUGGGUGUAAAGGGUGCGUAGACGGGACAACAAGUUAGUUGUGAAAUCCCUCGGCUUAACUGAGGAACUGCAACUAAAACUAUUGUUCUUGAGUGUUGGAGAGGAAAGUGGAAUUCCUAGUGUAGCGGUGAAAUGCGUAGAUAUUAGGAGGAACACCGGUGGCGAAGGCGACUUUCUGGACAAUAACUGACGUUGAGGCACGAAAGUGUGGGGAGCAAACAGG
rnacentral:rRNA from 1 species